rnacentral:tRNA from 3 species
UAGAAUGUAGUAUAGUGGAAGUACCGGGAGUUUUGAUCUCCCUGGGGCAGGUUCAAGUCCUGUUUUUCUAA